GAUGAACGCUAGCUACAGGCUUAACACAUGCAAGUCGAGGGGAAACGCCAUCGAAAGCUUGCUUUUGAUGGGCGUCGACCGGCGCACGGGUGAGUAACGCGUAUCCAACCUGCCCAUCACUUGGGAAUAACCUUGCGAAAGUAAGACUAAUACCCAAUGAUAUCCCACGAAGGCAUCGGAAUGGGAUUAAAGAUUUAUCGGUGAUGGAUGGGGAUGCGUCUGAUUAGCUUGUUGGCGGGGUAACGGCCCACCAAGGCAACGAUCAGUAGGGGUUCUGAGAGGAAGGUCCCCACAUUGGAACUGAGACACGGUCCAAACUCCUACGGGAGGCAGCAGUGAGGAAUAUUGGUCAAUGGGCGAGAGCCUGAACCAGCCAAGUAGCGUGCAGGAAGACGGCCCUAUGGGUUGUAAGCUGCUUUUAGAAGGGAAUAAAGUGGGUCACGUGUGACUUUUUGCAUGUACCUUAUGAAUAAGGACCGGCUAAUUCCGUG
rnacentral:rRNA from 1 species